ensembl:lncRNA
AAAAAUGGUAGUAACAGUAUAAAACAAAUAUUAAAAAAAAAAAUUAAAAAAAAAGUCUCACUCGUAAUAUUAUUAUAUUUGGCAAUUUUUUUUUCUUUCUAAUAAAAGAAACCUACUCAUUGUAGUUGGCAUAUAAAACUAUAUAUUUUUAAUAUAUAACCGUUUUUUUUUUAAUAACCAUCAUUUAUAACUGUGUUUUAUUUUUAUUUAUGAAAUAAAAAAAUAAAAAAAAAAAAUAAAAAAAAAAAAAAAAAAAGAAAAAAAAAAGAAAAAUAUGAGAAAACUGUCAAAAACUGAUGAUGAUGAUGAUGAUGAUGAUAAUUAUACAAACGAUACAUAUUUAAUAGAUCCAGAAAAUAAGCAUCAAACAAAUGGUCUACCAGUAUAUGGUCUACCAGUAUAUGGUCUACCAGUAAAUGGUCUACCAGUAAAUGGUCUACCAGUAAAUGGUCUACCAGUAAAUGGUCUACCAGUAAAUACUAAUGUAGUUUAUACUACUCCUAAUUUAAUAUAUGAACAAAAAGUUGUUUGUAAUAAUAAUGAACUAAAUAAUCAAAUAACCUCAUUGGAUCCUAAUUAUGUGAAUGCAGCAGAACCUAUCGUAUUAAAAAACGAACAAGUGUUACCACAAUUAUAUAUAAGACAACCACCAACAGUUAUAGUAACAAAUGAGCCAAGACCCCCUUUAGUUAUUAAUCCACCUCCAGCUAAUGUUAUUUUAAAAAAUAAAGCUCCUCAACCUAUAUAUGUAAAUAGUACAAGACCAAAUAUAAUUAUAAAAAACGACCCACCUGUUAUACAAAAUCCGAUUAAUAUGGAUACAACACCUAUUCAAGUGGAUACACCAAUAAUGCAUAAUACUGAUACUAUAUCUACUGCUACUAUUCCUAUAACUACAGUAAAUGACACUAUUCAUUACCCUACUUCAGUAGGAAUUAAACAAUAUAACAUAUCAAAUAACAUGUCAAAUAACAUGUCAAAUAACAUGUCAAAUAACAUGNNNNNNNNNNCAAAUAACAUGUCAAAUAACAUGUCAAAUAACAUGUCAAAUAACAUGCCAAAUAAAAUACCAAAUAAUAAUAUUUGCUAUUAUUAUCAAAAAGAUUUACAAGUUGAUAAAAAUUCACAACCAUUCAAUAUUAUACAAACAGAUGGUAAUAAUAAUAUAAAUAUGAAAGAAAUGUUUGUAAAUAAUAACCCCAAUGUUAUUAUGAUUGAUGGCCAAAAUCAAAAUACUAAUUUAUAUCAACAACAGACAUCAGUACCUUUAGUUUUGUCAAAUAAUAAUGUUUUACAUACACAAGGAUCUAUAAAUAAUGCAAUUGCUUCUUUUGAUACACAAGGAUAUAAUUAUAUACAACAAAAUAAUCCUUAUCCAUAUACACAAUAUAUUUCUAUCCCUGACAAUAAUCCACAUAUAUUGAAUCAACAAGUUAUAGCAGAACCAGCAGUGAUAAAUCCUGUAUAUAAUUUUAUGCAUUCAUCUCCAUCCCAAGUUAUACAUCAACAAUCAGCUCCGAACAUAUUACAAUAUCAACAACCAACUCCGAACAUAAUUUAUCAACAACCGGAAACUCAAGUUAUACAAAAAGGUUUAGAAACCCAAGUAGAUAAUAAACAUGGGAUACAACGAAACCUUUCUAACUCCUUUGAAUAUAGAGCAUGUAGAAAACCUUUCAAUUGUAAUAUAACACCAGAAUCGUAUAACUCAUAUUCUCCAUUAAAAAAUGUUAUGUAUUCAAAAGGCGAUAGGUCGUCACCUAGACCUAAAAAGGUUCAAAUAUUUGCACGUCCAAUGUAUAAUGGAAAUGCUAAAGGUUAUAACUUAAGUAUGUAAGGCAUCAUACAUAUGAUCGGAUCUUUACAUGUUUUCAUCUUUACAUGUUUUCAUCUUUACAUGUUUUUAUCGUUACAUGUUUUUAUCGUUACAUUUUUGCAUCAUACAUAUGAGCAAAUUUUUACACAUUCCCUUACAAUUUUUCUUAAAAAAAAAAAAAAAAAAAAAAAAAAUAUUUUUUUGUUUUUUUAAUUUUUAUUUGUUCUAGCUUGUUUUGUUCACUCAUUUGUUAUUAUAUUUUGUCCCAUUUUAUAUUGUUUUACUUUUAUUAUGUCCCCACUUUGUUUUGUAGUAUUUUUAUUUUACGCGACUUUAGUUUAUCACAUUAUACAUUACUUAUUACUAUUAAUGUUAAUAUUUAUCAAUAUAUACUUUUAUUUUUUUUAUUUUAUUUUUUUUUUUUUUUUGUGGAGAGGAGGGAGAAGUGGGGGUUUCUUUAAUGUCUUUUAACUUCGAUAAUAUAUAUGUCAAAAAAAAUCAGCAGACAAUAAAAAAUUUAUUAAAUUCUUUUUAACA